GUGCUUGCUUCACAGGCGCAUUUACUAAAGUUGGAACAGUACAGAGAUUAGCACGGCCCCUGGGAAGGAUGAUAUGUGAAAUCUUGAAAACAAAUCAACAUUA
ensembl:snRNA U6 U6 spliceosomal RNA